CCUACGGGAGGCAGCAGUGGGGAAUAUUGGACAAUGGGGGGAACCCUGAUGCAGCGACGCCGCGUGAGUGAAGAAGUAAUUCGUUACGUAAAGCUCUAUCAGCAGGGAAGAAAUACUUACCUUACGGUCAGCAGACAGUACCUGAGUAAGAAGCCCCGGCUAACUACGUGCCAGCAGCCGCGGUAAUACGUAGGGGGCAAGCGUUAUCCGGAUUUACUGGGUGUGAAUGGAGCGUAGACGGUGCCGCAAGUCUGGAGUGAAAUGCCGCAGCUUAACUGCGGAACUGCUUUGGAAACUGGCGAACUGGAGUGCGGGAGGGGUAAGCGGAAUUCCUAGUGUAGCGGUGAAAUGCGUAGAUAUUAGGAGGAACACCGGUGGCGAAGGCGGCUUACUGGACCGUAACUGACGUUGAGGCUCGAAAGCGUGGGGAGCAAACAGGAUUAGAUACCCUUGUAGUC
rnacentral:rRNA from 1 species